rnacentral:rRNA from 1 species
AUGGCCGGGCUGCGGCUUCUUGUUGGGGCGGUUUGGUUGCUGGCGGUGCUGCGGCAGGGCGCCGCGGCGGAGGCGGGGGCCGUCACCGUGGACGGGCGGCGCGCCAUUGCGUCCACGGGCGAGGACUUCGUGUGCGCCACCCUCGACUGGUGGCCGCCGGACAAGUGCGACUACGGCACCUGCAGCUGGGGCAACGCAUCCCUCCUCAACCUGGAUCUCUCCAACAAAAUCCUGCUCAAUGCCAUCAAAGCCUUCUCGCCGCUGGUGCUCCGGCUGGGCGGCUCGCUGCAGGACAAGGUGGUGUACGGCACGGCGGACCGGCCGGGGCCGUGCGCGCCGUUCAACAGGAGUAAGUCGGAGAUGUUCGGCUUCACCCAGGGCUGCCUGCCCAUGCCCCGCUGGGACGACCUCAACGCCUUCUUCGAGAAAUCCGGGGCGAAGAUCGUGUUCGGGCUCAACGCGCUCAACGGCCGGGUGCCACUGCAGGGCGGGGCCAUGGGAGGCAACUGGGACACCACGAACGCGGCGUCCUUCAUCCGGUACACCGCCGGCAAGGGCUACAAAAUCUAUGGCUGGGAGCUCGGGAACGAGCUCAGCGGCACCGGCGUCGGGACCAAGGUCGGCGUGGCUCAGUACGUCAAGGACGCGAUCGCCCUGAAGACGACGGUGGACGCCAUCUACCGGGGCAGCCCGGAGAAGCCGCUGGUGCUCGCGCCGGGCGGCUUCUUCGACGCGCGCUGGUACGGCGAGUUCAUCGCCAAGACCAAGCCCGACAUGCUCAACGUGGUGACCCACCACAUCUACAACCUAGGGGCAGGGGUGGACAGGGACACACAGCUGAUGGACAGGAUCCUCAACCCGAAGGCGCUCGACGGCAUGGCGGGCCCGUUCAGGGAUCUCCAGGGGCUGCUGAAAGCCGCGGGGACGUCGGCCGUCGCCUGGGUCGGGGAGUCUGGAGGGGCUUACAACAGCGGGCAUCACCUUGUCACCGACGCAUUUGUGUUCAGCUUCUGGUUCCUGGAUCAGCUGGGGAUGUCGGCGAAAUUCGACACCAAGAGCUACUGCAGGCAGAGCUUCAUCGGUGGGAACUACGGCCUGCUGAACACGACCACAUUCCAGCCAAAUCCUGACUACUACAGUGCUCUGCUGUGGCAUCGCCUGAUGGGAACCAAGGUGCUGGAAGCCAAGUUCACGGGCAGCAACAUGGUCCGCGCCUACGCGCAUUGCGCAAAGCAUGCUCCGGGGAUAACCCUGCUGCUCAUCAACCUGCACGUCAACGCGACGAACCACGUCUCGGUGGCGGGCCGCGGCGGCGCGCACGCCGGAGGAAGGAAGCACGGGGGGAGGUUUGCUCAGCCGCCCGGGGCGGCGAGGGAGGAGUACCACCUCACGCCCGAGGGCGGCAACAUCCAGAGCCAGGUGAUGCUGCUGAACGGCAGGGCGCUGGCCGCCGGCGCCGACGGGGGCAUCCCCGGGAUGGAGCCUGUGAAGGUGGACGCGGCGCGGCCCAUCGCCGUGGCCCCCCGGUCCAUCGUGUUCGUCCACAUGCCGGAUUACCAUGCCCCUGCGUGCGCUUAG